GGGACGCAGUGGGGGUCAAUGGGGGGCCGUGGGGGUCAAUGGGGGUCCCUGGGGGUCAAUGGGACUCUGUGGGGGUCAAUGGGGGUUCAAUGGGGGCAAUGGGGGUUCGUGGGGCUCAAUGGGACUCAAUGGGGGUUCAAUGGGGGUUCAAUGGGACUCAGUGGGGGUCAAUGACAGUCUGUGGGGGUCAAUGGGGGUUCAAUGGGACUCAAUGGGGUUCAAUGGGAGUCCGUGGGGGUCAAUGGGGGUUCAAUGGGGGUUCAGUGGGACUCAGUGGGGUUCAAUGGGGGUUCAAUGGGACUCAGUGGGGGUCAAUGGGAGUCCGUGGGGGUCAAUGGGGGUCCCUGGGGGUCAAUGGGGGUUCAAUGGGACUCAGUGGGGUUCAAUGGGGGGCCGUGGGGGUCAAUGGGGGUCCCUGGGGGUCAAUGGGGGUUCAAUGGGGGUUCAGUGGGACUCAGUGGGGUUCAAUGGGGGUUCAAUGGGACUCAGUGGGGGUCAAUGGGAGUCCGUGGGGGUCAAUGGGGGUCCCUGGGGGUCAAUGGGGGUUCAAUGGGACUCAGUGGGGUUCAAUGGGAGUCUGUGGGGGUCAAUGGGAGUCCGUGGGGGUCAAUGGGGGUCCCUGGGGGUCAAUGGGGGUUCAAUGGGACUCAGUGGGGUUCAAUGGGAGUCUGUGGGGGUCAAUGGGAUUCAAUGGGGGGCAUUGGGGGUUCAAUGGGACUCAGUGGGGUUCAAUGGGGGUUCAGUGGGGGGCAAUGGGGGUUCAAUGGGACUCAGUGGGGUUCAAUGGGAGUCUGUGGGACUCAAUGGGGGUCAAUGGGGGUUCAAUGGGAGUCUGUGGAGGUCAAUGGGGGUUCAAUGGGGGGCAAUGGGGGUUCAAUGGGACUCAGUGGGGUUCAGUGGGGGUUCAAUGGGGGGCAAUGGGGGUUCAGUGGGACUCAGUGGGGUUCAAUGGGACUCAAUGGGGGUCAAUGGUGGUUCAGUGGGACUCAGUGGGGGUCAAUGUGAGUCCAUGGGGGUCAAUGGGGGUCCCUGGGGGUCAAUGGGGGUUCAAUGGGACUCAGUGGGGUUCAAUGGGGGUUCUAUGGGGGUUCAGUGGGAGUCCGUGGGGGUCAAUGGGGGUUCAAUGGGGGUUCACUGGGACUCAGUGGGGUUCAAUGGGACUCAGUGGGGUUCAGUGGGAGUUCAAUGGGUUUCAAUGGGGGUUCAGUAGGAUUCAGUGGGAGUUCAAUGGGGUUCAAUGGGGUUCAGUAGGAUCCAAUGGGGUUCAAUGGGAGUUCAAUGGGUUUCAAUGGGAGUCAAUGGGGUUCAAAUGGAUUCAAUGGGGCUCAAAGGGAUUCAAUGGGAGUCAAUGGGGGUUCAAUGGGGGUCAAUUGGGUUCUAUGGGAAUCAAUGGGGUUCAAAGGGAUUCAAUGGGAGUCAAUGGGUUCAAAGGGAUUUGAUGGGGAUUCAAUUGGGAUUCAGUGGGGUUCAAUGGGGUUCAAAGGGAGUUCAAUGGGUUUCAGUGGGGGUUCAGUAGGAUUCAAUGGGGUUCAAUGGGAGUUCAAUGGGUUUCAAUGAGAGUCAAUGGGGUUCAAAUGGAUUCAAUGGGGCUCAAAGGGAUUCAAUGGGAGUCAAUGGGGGUUCAAUGGGGGUCAAUUGGGUUCAAUGGGAAUCAAUGGGGUUCAAAGGGAUUCAAUGGGAGUCAAUGGGGUUCAGUGGGAGUCAAUGGGGUUCAAAGGGAUUUGAUGGGAUUCAAUGGGGUUCAGUGGGAGUCAAUGGGGGUUCAGUGGGGAUAUGGGGACAGCACUGGGGAUAUCGUUGGGGACAGAGGGACAUGGGGAUAUGGGGACAUGAAUGGGGACAUGAUUGGGGAGAUUGUUGGGGAUAUGGGGACAUGAAUGGGGACAUGGGGACAUCGUUGGGGAUAUGGGGACAUGAAUGGGGACAUCGUUGGGGACAUGGGGAUAUGGGGACAUGAAUGGGGACAUGGGGACAUCGUUGGGGAUAUGGGGACACGAAUGGGGACAUGGGGACAUCGUUGGGGAUAAGGGACAUGAAUGGGGACAUCAUUGGGAACAUAGGGAUAUGGGGACAUGAAUGGGGACAUCAUUGGGAACAUAGGGAUAUGGGGACAUGAAUGGGGACAUCAUUGGGGACAUGAGGAUAUGGGGACAUGAAUGGGGACAUGAAUGGGGACAUCGUUGGGGAUAUGGGGACAUGAAUGGGGACAUGGGGACAUCGUUGGGGAUAUGGGGACAUGAAUGGGGACAUCAUUGGGGACAUGGGGAUAUGGGGACAUGAAUGGGGACAUGGGGACAUCGUUGGGGAUAUGGGGACACGAAUGGGGACAUGGGGACAUCGUUGGGGAUAUGGGGACAUGAAUGGGGACAUCAUUGGGAACAUAGGGAUAUGGGGACAUGAAUGGGGACAUCGUUGGGGAUAUGGGGACAUGAAUGGGGACAUGGGGACAUCGUUGGGGAUAUGGGGACAUGAAUGGGGACAUCAUUGGGAACAUAGGGAUAUGGGGACAUGAAUGGGGACAUCAUUGGGGACAUGAGGAUAUGGGGACAUGAAUGGGGACAUCGUUGGGGAUAUGGGGACAUGAAUGGGGACAUCAUUGGGGACAUAGGGAUAUGGGGACAUGAAUGGGGACAUCAUUGGGGACAUCGUUGGGGAUAUGGGGACAUGAAUGGGGACAUCGUUGGGGAUAUGGGGACACAAAUGGGGACAUGGAGACAUCGUUGGGGAUAAGGGACAUGAAUGGGGACAUCAUUGGGAACAUAGGGAUAUGGGGACAUGAAUGGGGACAUCGUUGGGGAUAUGGGGACACAAAUGGGGACAUGGGGACAUCGUUGGGGAUAUGGGGCCAUGAAUGGGGACGGAUAUGGGGCCAUGAAUGGGGACGUGGGGACAUCGCUGGGGAUAUGGGGCCAUGAAUGGGGCCAUGAAUGGGGCCAUGAAUGGGGACGUGGGGACAUCGCUGGGGAUAUGGGGCCAUGAAUGGGGCCAUGAAUGGGGAUGUGAAGGACGGCUGUGGGGACACUGGAGGGCCAGCAAUGGGGCCACCAAUGGGACUGAAUGGGGACAGCAAUGGGGACACCAAUUUGAAUGAAGGGGGCCACCAAUGGGGCCACCAAUGGGACUGAAGGGGGACACCAAUGGGGCCACCAAUGGGACUGAAUGGGGACAGCAAUGGGGACAUCAAUGGGACUGAAUGGGGCCAGCAAUGGGACUGAAUGGGGAAUGAAUGGGGACAUCAAUGGGACUGAAUGGGGCCACCAAUGGGACUGAAUGGGGACUGAAUGGGGACUGAAUGGGGACACCAAUGGGGACACCAAUGGGACUGAUUGGGGCCACCAAUGGGACUGAAUGGGGACUGAAUGGGGACAUCAAUGGGACUGAAUGGGGCCACCAAUGGGACUGAAUGGGGACUUAAUGGGGACUGAAUGGGGACACCAAUAGGGCCACCAAUGGGACUGAAGGGGGACACCAAUGGGACUGAAUGGGGCCACCAAUAGGGCCACCAAUGGGACUGAAGGGGGACACCAAUGGGACUGAAUGGGGCCACCAAUGGGGACACCAAUGGGACUGAAUGAGAACACUAAUGGGGCCAGCAAUAGGGACACCAAUGGGACUGAAUGGGGCCACCAAUGGGGCCACCAAUGGGGCCACCAAUGGGACUGAAUGAGGACAGCAAUGGGGCCACCAAUGGGACUGAAUGGGGCCACAAAUGGGGACACCAAUGGGACUGAAUGGGGCCACCAAUGGGGCCACCAAUGGGACUGAAUGGGGACAGCAAUGGGGCCACCAAUAGGGCCACCAAUGGGGCCACCAAUGGGACUGAAUGGGGACAGCAAUGGGGCCACCAAUGGGGCUGAAUGGGGCCACCAAUGGGACUGAAUGGGGCCACCAAUGGGGCCACCAAUGGGACUGAAUGGGGACACCAAUGGGGACACCAAUAGGGCCACCAACGGGACUGAAUGGGGCCACCAAUGGGGCCACCAAUGGGACUGAAUGGGGACAGCAAUGGGGCCACCAAUGGGGCUGAAUGGGGACAGCAAUGGGACUGAAUGGGGACACCAAUGGGGCCACCAAUGGGACUGAAUGGGGCCACCAAUGGGGCCACCAAUGGGACUGAAUGGGGACAGCAAUGGGGCCACCAAUGGGGCUGAAUGGGGACAGCAAUGGGACUGAAUGGGGACACCAAUGGGGCCACCAAUGGGACUGAAUGGGGACACCAAUGGGACUGAAUGAGAACACCAAUGGGGCGAGCAAUAGGGACACCAAUGGGACUGAAUGGGGCCACCAAUGGGACUGAAUGGGGACACCAAUGGGACUGAAUGAGAACACCAAUGGGGCGAGCAAUAGGGCCACCAAUGGGACUGAAUGGGGCCAGCAAUGGGGCGAGCAAUAGGGACACCAAUGGGACUGAAUGGGGCCACCAAUGGGGACACCAAUGGGACUGAAUGAGAACACCAAUGGGGCGAGCAAUAGGGCCACCAAUGGGACUGAAUGGGGCCACCAAUGGGGCCACCAAUGGGGCCACCAAUGGGACUGAAUGGGGACAGCAAUGGGGCCACCAAUAGGGCCACCAAUAGGGCCACCAAUGGGACUGAAUGGGGCCAACAAUGGGGCCACCAAUGGGACUGAAUGGGGCCACCAAUGGGGCCACCAAUGGGGCCACCAAUGGGACUGAAUGGGGACAGCAAUGGGGCCACCAAUAGGGCCACCAAUAGGGCCACCAAUGGGACUGAAUGGGGCCACCAAUAGGGCCACGAAUGGGACUGAAUGGGGCCACGAAUGGGACUGAAUG
ensembl:lncRNA